GGUAUGUGGCUUAGUGGUAGAGUGCUUGCCUAGCAUGCAUGAAGCCCUGGGUUCAAUUCCUCAGUACCA
rfam:Dipodomys ordii contig_83143, whole genome shotgun sequence.